GCCCAACUAGCUCAGUGGUAGAGCGCAAGGCUUUUAAGCCACAAGCUGCGAUUCUCGCAGGUGCAUGUAACCUUGUGGUCGUGGGUUCGACCCCCACGUUGGGCG
rnacentral:tRNA from 1 species